rnacentral:rRNA from 1 species
GACGAACGCUGGCGGCGUGCUUAACACAUGCAAGUCGAACGGUGAAGGGAUCAACUUGCUGGUUCUGGAUGAGUGGCGAACGGGUGAGUAGCACGUGAGUAACCUGCCCCCUUCUUCUGGAUAACCGCAUGAAAGUGUGGCUAAUACGGGAUAUUCUGCGCCUGCUGCAUGGUGGGUGUGGGAAAGAUAUUGUUUCGGUGGGGGAUGGGCUCGCGGCCUAUCAGCUUGUUGGUGGGGUGAUGGCCUACCAAGGCGGUGACGGGUAGCCGGCCUGAGAGGGUGGACGGUCACACUGGGACUGAGACACGGCCCAGACUCCUACGGGAGGCAGCAGUGGGGAAUAUUGCACAAUGGGCGCAAGCCUGAUGCAGCGACGCCGCGUGAGGGAGGGAGGCCUUCGGGUUGUGAACCUCUUUCGCCAGUGAAGCAGGCCUGUCCCGUGUGGGUGGGUUGACGGUAGCUGGAUAAGAAGCGCCGGCUAACUACGUG